rnacentral:rRNA from 1 species
UACGAAGGGGGCUAGCGUUGCUCGGAAUCACUGGGCGUAAAGCGCACGUAGGCGGAUUGUUAAGUCAGGGGUGAAAUCCUGGAGCUCAACUCCAGAACUGCCUUUGAUACUGGCGAUCUCGAGUCCGGGAGAGGUGAGUGGAACUGCGAGUGUAGAGGUGAAAUUCGUAGAGUAUUCGCAAGAACACCAGUGGCGAAGGCGGACUCACUGGCCCGGUA